GGUCCAACCUCCCACCCGUGUUUAUUUACCUCGUUGCUUCGGCGGGCCCGCCUUAACUGGCCGCCGGGGGGCUCACGCCCCCGGGCCCGCGCCCGCCGAAGACACCCCCGAACUCUGCCUGAAGAUUGUCGUCUGAGUGAAAAUAUAAAUUAUUUAAAACUUUCAACAACGGAUCUCUUGGUUCCGGCAUCGAUGAAGAACGCAGCGAAAUGCGAUACGUAAUGUGAAUUGCAAAUUCAGUGAAUCAUCGAGUCUUUGAACGCACAUUGCGCCCCCUGGUAUUCCGGGGGGCAUGCCUGUCCGAGCGUCAUUGCUGCCCUCAAGCCCGGCUUGUGUGUUGGGCCCCGUCCUCCGAUUCCGGGGGACGGGCCCGAAAGGCAGCGGCGGCACCGCGUCCGGUCCUCGAGCGUAUGGGGCUUUGUCACCCGCUCUGUAGGCCCGGCCGGCGCUUGCCGAUCAACCCAAAUUUUUAUCCAGGUUGACCUCGGAUCAGGUAGGGAUACCCGCUGAACUUAAGCAUAUCAAUAAGCGGAGGA
rnacentral:misc_RNA from 1 species